CCCGGGCGGCAGCAGUGAGGAAUAUUGGUCAAUGGUCGGAAGCCUGAACCAGCCAAGUAGCGUGCAGGAUGACGGCCCUACGGGUUGUAAACUGCUUUUAUACGGGAAUAACGCGCCUUACGUGUAGGGCUUUGCAUGUACCGUAUGAAUAAGGACCGGGUAAUUCCGUGCCAGCAGCCGCGGUAAUACGGAAGGUCCGGGCGUUAUCCGGAUUUAUUGGGUUUAAAGGGAGCGUAGGCCGCAUGUCAAGCGUGCUGUGAAAUGUCCGGGCUCAACCCGGGCCUUGCAGCGCGAACUGGCGUGCUUGAGUCCGCGGAAAGCAGGCGGAAUUCGGCGUGUAGCGGUGAAAUGCUUAGAUAUGACGAAGAACCCCGAUUGCGAAGGCAGCUUGCUGCAGCGGAACUGACGCUGAUGCUCGAAAGCGCGGGUAUCGAACAGGAUUAGAUACCCCUGUAGUC
rnacentral:rRNA from 1 species